AAACAGCCAAACCCUAACUUUCCGUGUAACAUUUGACUGUACGUCUUAUAUGAAUUCUUUUUAUAAUUAGUAUUUUUAUUGUUGUUAGAUGAUAAAAUAUGAUUAAUACUUUAUGCGUGAUUUAUCUUUUUAAUUUUUUUAUAUAUUUUUUUCAAAUAAGACAGACGGUCAAAUGUUGGACACGGAAAUCAGGGUUUGUCUUUUU
rfam:Oryza rufipogon genomic scaffold, chr08